UGGCGGACGGGUGAAGUAGUCUGGGAAACUGCCCGAUGGAGGGGGAUAACUACUGGAAACGGUAGCUAAUACCGCAUAACGUCGCAAGACCAAAGAGGGGACCUUCGGGCCUCUUGCCAUCGGAUGUGCCCAGAUGGGAUUAGCUAGUAGGUGGGGUAACGGCUCACCUAGGCGACGAUCCCUAGCUGGUCUGAGAGGAUGACCAGCCACACUGGAACUGAGACACGGUCCAG
rnacentral:rRNA from 1 species